UGGACCAAUCUGGAAUGGUGGUCAUGUCUCUGUGAUAACAUAAUUAGGAAGAAAAAGUUAUUGCGCAGAUGUAAUUAUGGCCAGGGAAGAGGGACAUGAGAACGUGUGAGAAGAACAGCUCUGCAGACACUGAGGUCAGUGGAAAAGGAGGGGCAGGAGGCGCUUCAGGCGCCAGAGCUGGGAUUUCCCUGCAGCCUGCAGUGACCACGAUGGUGAAGCAGCUGUGCCUCUGCAGCUGAUGGAGACCCCUUGCGAUGCAGAGAUCCACCCACAGGCUGUGGAAGACCCCAUGCUGGAGCAGGGAAGGACUACUUUGCCUGAGCAGCAACAGGAGCAGCAGCCGGAACAGCAGUGUGAUGAACUGACCAUAAUCCCAUUCCCAUCUUUCUGCCCUGCUGGGGUGGGGUCUCCCGCGAAUUGCAGCAUAAUGUCCUGAGAGGUGUUGGGGCUAACCCGGGAUUUGCCUGAGCAAUGUGGGCUGACCUCUUUGCUUUUCUGCUUCGGGAUCAAAGAGAGGCCUAGCCUGUUGCCAAGAGGAUGACAACCCCCCCUCGGACGGUGGGGAGAGGGGGAUAUUUGCAUCUCAGGAGACAUGCAAAUUUACCUCCAAACCCAGACUGCAUUGGGACAGGACCUUCACCAAAUCCUGGAAAAUACCCCAAAAGAGGUGAGCCGAAGCAGAACUGAGAGGUCAGGGUGGUGUCUGGACAGCAGGGCCGAGGUCCGAAGCCAGCUGAGACGCUUGAAAACCUCGGUCACUCCUCGCCCCAAUUAAAAACAAUGCCAGUUGGACCCAGGACCCCUGGACUGAUAACCCAAACUGAAACCCUGGGUAUACCCCCACUGCCCUUGCGAGUACAGGACUCCCGGCUCUGCUCCCUUGGGGACAGAGCUGCAAAUCCUCCUCUUCUGAUUCCCUGUUGGGAGCGGCGGCAGAACUUUGUGGAUCUGCUGAACCCCCCAUUUUCGAGCUGAUCACUUUAA